UUUAUUAAUUGUGGACUGGAAUGAAGGGUUGAAACUAAGAGGAUUGUUUUUGUCAAUAAGUUUGAAUUUAAAUUAAAAGUAAAAAUGCUUUUGUAAAUUUUGGGGACGAGAAGACCCUAAAAGCUUAAAAAUUAAUUUUUUAAUUGGGGCAAUUUUUGAAGAAAAAGAUUUUUAUAAAUUAAAGUUAAAAGUUAUAAGUUACUUUAGGGAUAACAGCAUAAUUAAUUUGAAGAGUUCUUAUCAUUAAAUUAGUUUGUGACCUCGAUGUUGAAUUAAAU
rnacentral:rRNA from 1 species